GCCGCGGUAACGCCGCUUCAUUAAAACUACUCAAUGGAGUGCUGUCGUCGGGCAGAUUAAUAAUGGACGAGCCGACAGGUGACGGAUACCUUCUCGCCGACGGAAAGUUUCCGGCUCACCGAAGAAAGAAAGAAAAAAAAACCGGAGGAACCGGAAUGAGCAGCAUGAGAGUUUUUAAAUGAGAUCAUGAGGAGUUGAAGAAGACGUUUAAAACCCCGAAGAAGAGCCGAGAGGAAGAACAAAUCGACUGAAUCUACGAUCGCAUGAUGACACCGUGACAGCGCCUUCAGGAUUCUGCCCAGCAUCAUGGCUGAACAGCUGUUUUCACAAACAACAGGCAGGACCAGGACCAGGACCAGGACCCCAGAAGCCCAAACUGGGAGGGGAACAUGUCAACACCCAGCGGUCUGUCAGCCAGCAGACCCAAACCAGAGGUCCUCAUUGGUGGAUUUAACUAACAACACACACACUCGAUGCCGAAGUGUCUUCAACUAGUUAGUCUAUAAAAAUGACUCUACUCCUCUGGUUGUAUAGAAGUCUAUGCUUCAUGUGUUAAAGCUGCAUUCUCUCUCCUGACCAUCAGGGGUGACUCCUCUGGUUGUAUAGAAGUCUAUGCUUCAUGUGUUAAAGCUGCAUUCUCUCUACUGACCACCAGGGGGGACUCCUCUGGUUGUAUAGAAGUCUAUUUAGUAAAUGAUGUUCAUUUGGAGUCAUAAAGGAGGGGAUGCUUUGGGGGCGGGGCUUCAGGGUGAUAGACAGCAUACCUCCACCUGUGAUACAGUCUACAGUCGAUGGAUAGCUUCCAUGACAUCAUCUCUUGUGUUUAUAAAUUAUGACAAAUUAAUUGUAGAAUAACAUAAUUAAAAACUAUUUUGACAUUA